rnacentral:rRNA from 1 species
GAGUUUGAUCCUGGCUCAGAAUGAACGCUGGCGGCAUGCCUAACACAUGCAAGUCGAACGAAGGCUUCGGCCUUAGUGGCGCACGGGUGCGUAACGCGUGGGAAUCUACCCCUUGGUUCGGAAUAACAGCGAGAAAUUGCUGCUAAUACCGGAUAAUGACGUAAGUCCAAAGAUUUAUCGCCGAGGGAUGAGCCCGCGUAGGAUUAGCUAGUUGGUGUGGUAAAGGCGCACCAAGGCGACGAUCCUUAGCUGGUCUGAGAGGAUGAUCAGCCACACUGGGACUGAGACACGGCCCAGACUCCUACGGGAGGCAGCAGUGGGGAAUAUUGGACAAUGGGCGAAAGCCUGAUCCAGCAAUGCCGCGUGAGUGAUGAAGGCCUUAGGGUUGUAAAGCUCUUUUACCCAGGAUGAUAAUGACAGUACCGGGAGAAUAAGCUCCGGCUAACUCCGUGCCAGCCGCCGCCGUAAG